GCUCAACGAUAUCUCUAGCUGUUCAAUGAGGUGUGCUUUGUUAGUGUUUGAGUGAAACCCUACAGGAUGGUAGAUCUCCAGGAACAGGGUUGGGCAGCCCUGUUCUAACUGUUGAAUGAGGUGUGCUUUGUUAGGAUUGGAGUGAAAACCUACAGUUGUCAGACGAUUUAAAAGGCCGCAAUAACUUCCUAACUUCCGUCUCCACGGAAUGUCUCCUGGUGUCUUAUGAAACUUCGUUCCCCGUUGAUACGCGCUUAUUGGAUCAGGGAGGACAGGACCAGCUCUUCACGCAUAAGGCAGCAAUAUGGCUGCCAGUCACAGGACACUGCAGGGAGAGGGGAGAAUGGAGAAGGAAGUCAUGAUGGAGGAAUUGAUGGGAAGACACAAGGGAGAGACAAGAACUGCACGACAGAGUGGAAGGCGGGGGGGGGGGGGGUAGAGACAGCACUUGACAGUUUAACUCCACGCCUCUGCGCUGAUAUUUAAAAAAGCCUGUUCUCCAGUGUUUAAUUAAAUCAACAUCACAGCGACUCACAACAGUGACACAGCGCAGCUUCCUCAUUACCCCUCAGUCUUAACUUUCACGCACCCCCUCCCCUCCGUCCUCGCUCCCCCACCCCCCACCUCCACUUUAUAGAAACUGCGUUAAAAAGCACCAAACUGUUUUUUUUUAAGAUAUCAAAGUUGAGUGUCAACGGUCACGCUAAAGUCGGAGAGUUAAUUAGGUUUAAAUCCUGGGAAAUAUCUGCCUCGUUCCGUCGCCUGAAAUAAUGUUCUUUUGAUCGCUAAUGGCGUGGAGUGCUAACGCUGCCCCAGAAAGCUGAGGAAAUUCCAGUCUCUCGCAGGGGCAUUCGAUCACACGCGGAUAACUGGACGUGCUCGUUAGCAUUGAAUUUACUUGUCCGGCUAGCGAGUUAAUCUGUCCUCCAAUCAGGUCGUGAGAUUUGUUAAGGCCCUGUAGCAUAGUCGGCGUCGGGCGAGCUGACCGCAUCGACUUCGCGAUCGACUUCUCCGUCCGACUGAAACCCCGAGCGGCAGUAAACUGAAAGGUUUUCGGUGUGGAGCGGAGCAGGUGAUAGGUGUGCUAAGAGAGGAGCCUGAUAAAGAGUCCUCCAUUGGAGGCAGGGUGGCACAAGGACCCGGAAGUAAGAAAAAAAAACAAAAAAAAACAUACGACGGCGUGCCGCUGUAAAACACCGCGGACUAAUCGGGCCCGCGCGGCUCGUGUCCACCGGAGGAGAAAUAAGGGCCGCCUGUCACCCCCCUGAAAAUUUAAGACGCGAGGGCGACGAGGGAACUGGCCCGGUGAUGGAUGCCCCCCCCCCCCAUUUCUCAUCUGCAAAGGUUAGCAUCUGACACGGGGGGGGCCACUUCAAUCUGUCUGGCGAUCACAGCUCCAUCAGAGGGCUCUGCUGCUUGUCAACACCGGCGCUGAUCCAUUUGUUAUGUGCCUCCUAAUGGACACCAGGGGCAGGCCUCGACAAUAAAUUACUGCCCUCCUACCCCCCCUCCUCUCCUCCCCCCCUUUCUGUCUCACUAGCCUUGCUCUACUUACACAGAGGAAGGUAAAUGGAAUUCAGGUUGGGGUGGGCGGGGGUGGGGGCAGUUUGGGGGCGGCUGGCGACCGUGUCCACUUACCGAAGCGGUGUCCAGAGCAGCGGUAAAUCAGGCUUGUUUGGGGCGAUCGGUGCAGAGAGCGGACGGGGGGAAGCCUAAUCUAUCUGACAGGAACGAUUUGCAGGCCGCUCCUCAGCAGCCCCGCGAACAGGAACAGGAAGUGUGCCAUUCACCCCGUCCCAGGAAGCGCCUGGCCGUCGGACGAAUGGCGGCGCGGCGGCGCGCUACCUUAUCGUUAGCCGUAAAUGGGUAACGACGCCCUUUAUAGACACCCCCCCUAGCCCCCGCUGCAGUUCCAGCAUCUGUCAGGAGUUUAACGAUAAUAUAUCACUGCUCUCCUAACCGCCGGUACAGAGGGAGGUACAGCGUUAAGAGAAAUCCAUCCAUCCAUCCAUCCAUCCAUCCAUUAUCUGCACCUAAUUAUCCUGGGCAGGGUCGCGGGGGGUGAUGGAGCCUAUCCCAGCAUGCAUUGGGCGAGAGGCAGGAAUACACCCUGGACAGGCCUCCCAGUCUAUCGCAGGGCACACACACCAUUCACUCACACACUCAUACCCAUGGGCAAUUUAGAGUCUCCAGUUAGUCUGCCUGCAUGUCUUUGGACUGUGGGAGGAAACCACGGUACCUGGAGGAAAACCACACAGACACAGGGAGAACAUUCAAACACAGUCCUGCCCACUGCACCACUGUGCUGCCCAUUAACAGAAAUGUGUGUAUGUAUUCAUAAGAUGAAUGAAUCAAUUAAAAAUAGAUGUGCAUCAGCA